rnacentral:lncRNA from 1 species
AACUUUACUUUUGUUGAAGUUUAACCAUUACAACUCUUAAUAACUGUAUUUUUUUGUAGCAGCAAACCCAUUUAAACAACUGUAGAUUCUAAAUCAUAAAUGCAACCUCAUGAUCCAGAAAAUUAUCUCAUUAUUUUAUUAGAACUUUUUUCUUUGAAAUUCAUUUUUUUCUACAUCACCAACACAGUUAAGAGCAUGUUCCUCC